rnacentral:rRNA from 1 species
AGUGAACGCUGGCGGUAGGCCUAACACAUGCAAGUCGAACGGCAGCACAGUAAGAGCUUGCUCUUACGGGUGGCGAGUGGCGGACGGGUGAGGAAUACAUCGGAAUCUACUUUUUCGUGGGGGAUAACGUAGGGAAACUUACGCUAAUACCGCAUACGACCUACGGGUGAAAGCAGGGGAUCUUCGGACCUUGCGCGAUUGAAUGAGCCGAUGUCGGAUUAGCUAGUUGGCGGGGUAAAGGCCCACCAAGGCGACGAUCCGUAGCUGGUCUGAGAGGAUGAUCCGCCACACUGGAACUGAGACACGGUCCAGACUCCUACGGGAGGCCGCAGUGGGGAAUAUUGGACAAUGGGCGCAAGCCUGAUCCAGCCAUACCGCGUGGGUGAAGAAGGCCUUCGGGUUGUAAAGCCCUUUUGUUGGGAAAGAAAAGCAGCAGGUUAAUACCCCGCUGUUCUGACGGUACCCAAAGAAUAAGCACCGGCUAACUUCGUG